rnacentral:rRNA from 1 species
UACGAACUGUGCGAACGUUAUUCGGAAUCACUGGGCUUAAAGGGUGCGUAGGCGGGCAGGUAGGUCAGAUGUGAAAGCCCACGGCUCAACCGUGGAAUUGCGUUUGAAACCACUUGUCUUGAGGGGAUCAGAGGAGAGCGGAACUAAUUGUGGAGCGGUGAAAUGCGUUGAUAUGAUUAGGAACACCGGUGGCGAAAGCGGCUCUCUGGGAUCUUUCUGACGCUGAGGCACGAAAGCUAGGGGAGCGAACGGG